CCUACGGGAGGCUGCAGUGGGGGAUAUUGCACAAUGGGCGCAAGCCUGAUGCAGCGACGCCGCGUGGAGGAAGAAGGUUUUCGGAUUGUAAACUCCUGUCUUCAGGGACGAUAAUGACGGUACCUGAGGAGGAAGCCACGGCUAACUACGUGCCAGCAGCCGCGGUAAUACGUAGGUGGCAAGCGUUGUCCGGAAUUACUGGGUGUAAAGGGAGCGUAGACGGCCAAGCAAGCCAGGGGUGAAAGCCCGGGGCCCAACCCCGGGACUGCCCUUGGAACUACAUGGCUGGAGUGCGGGAGGGGCAGGCGGAAUUCCUGGUGUAGCGGUGAAAUGCGUAGAUAUCAGGAGGAACACCGGCGGCGAAGGCGGCCUGCUGGACCGCGACUGACGUUGAGGCUCGAAAGCGUGGGGAGCGAACAGGAUUAGAUACCCCAGUAGUC
rnacentral:rRNA from 1 species